GGCCUUGUGGCGUAAUGGCUAACGCGUCUGACUUCUAAUCAGAAGAUUCUGGGUUCGACCCCCAGCUCGGCCU